AACACCACCCGUGGGAAUAUCCCUUACCUACCCCACUCGCACUCGUACUAUAUUGCUUAAGUAAUCCCUGUUUGAUAUACAGGAAGAUAUGUCACGUCUGAAUUCAACUAUACUGUUAUCAGCUGUGGGAGUACCUUGUGGCACCUUGUAACAUUACAUCAACAUACAAACAAGAUUCACAGGAUGUGACUCAGAAACACACACACACACACAAACAGAGAGAGAGAGAGAGAGACAGAGACACACACACACUUAAGGAUUAUUAUUAAUAGUAUUAUUAAUAAUAAUAAUGAUAACAGAGCUUGCCAGAACACACAUCUUCACAUGUGCAGUUAUUCUCACACUGUGAGUUGAACAAACAAUGACAUAUCUUUACAUUCUUUUUUUUCUUGUAUACUGUAAGUCUAGACAACACCUUACAGCACACCAGAGCUGCAGAGAGCUCUGCUCAAAUGACUCAAUCUCACUGUGAGUUUUUCAAGAAUUCAAACCUUCCUUAACAAACACAAUCAAUGCCCUGAGUAAAAAUCAACUUGACUUUCUCCCAAACCAGCUUACCACAUAUCAUAUUUACACCCACACACCCUAAUCAGUAAACAUGUAAAAGACACAAAAAAAUGAAAAAUAUUUGCUUGCUUUCAAUAUUCUAAAUGAUGAAUCAUUCUAUUUGCCACACAUGUUACGUGACAAACAUUUUAGAAAGUGGUGUCUGAUGUGAUUAAAUUAAUAUAUUCAAGUAUAUUCAAGUAAAAAUGGGCAACAACAGAGACGUGGAGUGAGUCCAACACUCUUCGUCAUCUACAUUCUUCGUCAUCUAAACUCUUCGUCAUCAACACUCUUCGUCAUCUACACUCUUCGUCAUCUAAACUCUUCGUCAUCAACACUCUUCGUCAUCUAAACUCUUCGUCAUCAACACUCUUCGUAAUCUACACUCUUCGUCAUCUACACUCUUCGUCAUCUACACAUUAAUGAGUUAGUGGUGCAGCUGGACCAAUCUACAGCUCCUGGACUUACCCUUCAAGACAUCAGGAAGUUUCAGCAAGGCAGUCAAUGCGCACAAAGAAAAGCAGUAGAGCACUGUAUGCUAGAAAAUCGAUUUUUUUUACUAUAUAAACAUACCAAUCACUAUCUGGUCCAAAUUAAUUGGCAGCAUAAUACAGCCUAUUGCAUUAUAUGGAUCGGCAUCAAGGCUGGGGAGACCAACAGACUUAACAAGCUGGUGAGGAAGGCUUUGUUGGACUGAAACGGGACAGUGUGGAGGCAGUGGUGGAGAGGAUGAUGGUGGUACAAAAUCCAGAUCACACAGGGCAACCUCUUCCAUCUCCUCUAUGAUGAGCUGAGGCAGAUGAGGAGCACCUUUCACCACGGCCUCAUCUCCCCCAUGUGCAAGACCAGGCCAUUCAGGCACUCCUUUGUGCCGACAGCCAUCUGGCUGCACCACCGCACCUGAGACUCUUUUUGCACCUCCCCAGGACACUCUACAACUGCAAUUAUAUACACUUUGGACACUUCAAUCUCUUUAAAUACAUGAACCUGUGAUAAUUUGUUUAUUUGCUCUUUAUCAUGGCAUUUUGCACUACAUGUAUAUUUGGACACUGCAAAUACAUGAGCCUGUUUAGUGCACACUAUCAUUCCUUGUUGUAGCUGAUUUGUUUUUUAUUGUACUUUUUUAUUUAUUCAUAUUUACAUAUAUUUCUUCAUCUGUCUUUCUGCUGCUGAUUAUCACACAAAGUCUUAUCUCAUCUAACAACAGAUUUCUGGUGGUUUCCUGGUGAAAGGAUUUUGCCAGGGGUCCAGUUAAUGGGAGUGUGGCCUGAUAAGAGGCUGGUGCCUUGCCUAUUUAAACAAACACAACACUUCCUCUAGCUGACACUUUUCACAAUGCAGGGACAGACAUUCUUCUGACUCAUUGGUAUGUGGCCUGUACAAGACCAGUUCUUGGGAAGUGCUCUGGGUUGCCAUUCUACUUGUAGCAAAAUUAGGCCUACAUCACGGUGUUGCUAAAUUAUUGGCCUAUUUGUUUUUGUUAGUUUGUUUUUUGAAAGAUGUGAUGUAAAUAGAAGAAGUAAAAUUACACACUUUUCCCCCAGCAUUCAUUGUCCUGUGCCAGAAUGGCCCAAGAGAUCCACAGCCUGUGUAGGCGAUACAGCACAUCUCUCCUGUGAAUUGGGUUUCAUCAAGGUGGAAUCAGCCAGCUAUGGACGGAGUGAAACAUCCACCUGCAGUGGACACCCAUCAAAUCAGAUUUCAAACACCCAAUACCACCAGUACCUGUCUCAACACAUCAUGUCUGACAGGUAGCACAACCUGAAAAUAAUGCACAUACCUGGAAUUUUAUACACACUAAUGCAGGUUAAGGGGAGAGGAGAGGAGAGGAGGUCAGUGAUGUGGAAAAUCAUAGAUACUCAAAGAAUCAUAUAGCAAGAGGUGAAAACAAAAUGUACAAUCCUAACAGGAAGAAAAUAUACGCUAAACAUAACAUUAAUGACACAAAAUAGCCACACCACAUUUUAAAGAAGGGGGCAUACAUCUAUUUGUAUAGCUUAGAGAGGAAUGGGCACUGAUCAAAUGAAUCAGUCAGACAAGCACCAGCACUCUCAGUAUCUAGCCUUGCCUGGGCUUAAACAUAUAUAUCUAUGAAUCAACACAAAUGUCAAAGUCAAAAAUCAGAUGAGUGGCAUGGGGUGACCAUUAAUGGUGUGUGUGUUUUAACAUCAUGUCAUAUUCUUCAGGUGACCCCCCCCCCCUAUGACAACAGAGCCUGCACGUGUAAGCUAUCACAAGGAAGCAAAUCACAAAAAUAAUGGGCCUUUAGAGCUUUAUGGCUCUGACAGAGAUGAAGGAAAACGUUUGAGAUAAAUAAACAUGAUCUUGAUUAACAAAUUUUAUUCUAGCUAGAAAAUAGAUAGAAAAGCCAUCAUGGCUGUCUAGGCCAUUUUAGGUUAAACUACAAAUGGCCUAUGAGCGAGGAAACACAGGAGUAUCCUGCACAGUGUUCGGGAGUAGUGAACUGCAUGUAGUUCAACUAGUUUUGUACCUACAUUUUGCAGUAGCUUACUGGUAAUUCAGCUACAUUCAUAUUUGCAAAGUGAUUCAAGUAGUGUAAGAUAAAUUCAGUUUAGGUAUGAAUUUAUUAACAUUUUAUUUCUAUUAACAAUGUAUGCCCAUUUAACCAGUAUAACUGAGCAGUUGGAAAGCAGGUUUCAGACAGAGGGGCCUAAGAUAACAUUCAAAGAACUGCUUUCAAGUUCAAGAAUGACCAGUGACAUAAAUUCCAAGGUCAUAGGGCACCCUGGGCAGGAGACAGAGGAGAUAGGGAGACGAUCUGUACCAGGGAGUGGAGAUUCACAGAAACUUAAUUGUCAGGCCAGAAAUUACGACUGAAACAUGCAAGUCACAGAGAGGCGUAUACGUGUGGGGCCCAGGAAGCACCAUCAGUGAAGACUGGACUUAUAAACCAUUGUUAUCACAUGUAAAAUUCAGAACGCGUUCUCCAGCCGUGGGUGACAGAGCCAUUGUGAACUCUGCAUCUCCGGCUGAAUCUUGUCCAAUCUUAAAACCAGUAAACUCAGCUGUAUCAAACCAAGUGCUACGUGUGGUGGUCCGAUUACUCUGAUUUCUCUGUAAACCAGCACGCAGAUAGUUAAUUUUAACUUAACAGUAGUCAAAAAAAAUAACGGUACGUAGCUUAUAAAGGACUAAUACAAGGCAGUGCCAACCUGAUGGAAGACGUAAAACAGUGGACUUAACGAUUCAAGCACUUGCAGUCUGGGCACUCAUAUGGACAGGCUGCAUACACCAACCUCUCUAACAACUCCACCAACCAACAUUAUGCCUGACACACACACACACACGCACGCACGCACGCACGCACACACACAUA
ensembl:lncRNA